rnacentral:rRNA from 1 species
AGUGAACGCUGGCGGUAGGCCUAACACAUGCAAGUCGAACGGCAGCACAGUAAGAGCUUGCUCUUACGGGUGGCGAGUGGCGGACGGGUGAGGAAUACAUCGGAAUCUACUUUUUUGUGGGGGAUAACGUAGGGAAACUUACGCUAAUACCGCAUACGACCUACGGGUGAAAGCAGGGGAUCUUCGGACCUUGCGCGAUUGAAUGAGCCGAUGUCGGAUUAGCUAGUUGGCGGGGUAAAGGCCCACCAAGGCGACGAUCCGUAGCUGGUCUGAGAGGAUGAUCAGCCACACUGGAACUGAGACACGGUCCAGACUCCUACGGGAGGCAGCAGUGGGGAAUAUUGGACAAUGGGCGCAAGCCUGAUCCAGCCAUACCGCGUGGGUGAAGAAGGCCUUCGGGUUGUAAAGCCCUUUUGUUGGGAAAGAAAAGCAGCAGGCUAAUACCCCGCUGUUCUGACGGUACCCAAAGAAUAAGCACCGGCUAACUUCGUG